AAAGCAUUGUUCCAUUGCCAUAAGAAUGGUGCCAAUGACCACAGAAGUCUCAUUUCAAAUCAGAAAUGACUAUGAACAAGACCUCGAAACCUGUCAGUGAUCUCUGACAUAUACUUCUGGAAUUUCUUAUUUCACAACGUUAUUCAACUUCACUAUAAACUAUCUUCAUAAUAACAGUUUAGUGGAAAUCAAAACAAACCAGAUUUGGCAGAUUAUGAAGAAUGUAAUUUUCUUCUCCAGGAAAGGUGAAGGUGACAAGUGUGUCUUAAUCCACAUAGAAAUGACUUCCAGGAAAAUCUGUUCCUGCAGAGCUCACACGCAUAGCAAAGCAGAGAAUAAACCCUGUGAGUCAAUCCCCCUUCUGAAUCUCAACAUAUAGGCUACAGAGAGCUGCUACCAAGUUGCAAUAUGAUGGCUUCAUUUUUGUGGACAGGUAGCCCCUUUUAAAGAUCUACACUUGUACAGAAGAUAAGCAUGUUAUGGAGACAGUCACAAUACCUACAUUUAGCUGCAUGGAUACCUUUAAAAGAGUGAGAAAAUGCAUGUACCUAAGACAGGGCUGAAGGAACAGCUUUGGAAAUACAUCUAUCACGCUAAAACAAACAGCUUCUUUGUUUGACUUCAGAGAACUGAAAAGAAUCACCACAUAUCCUACAUCACUCCUGGAUUUCCAUAAGACAACACUGUAAUUUGAAGUAAGAUAUCUAAAACUUUUUGUGCUAUACUUAUUUAUGUUAUC